rnacentral:rRNA from 3 species
GAGCCGUAGGGAAACCGAGUCUUAACCGGGCGUUAAGUUGCAGGGUAUAGACCCGAAACCCGGUGAUCUAGCCAUGGGCAGGUUGAAGGUUGGGUAACACUAACUGGAGGACCGAACCGACUAAUGUUGAAAAAUUAGCGGAUGACCUGUGGCUGGGGGUGAAAGGCCAAUCAAACCGGGAGAUAGCUGGUUCUCCCCGAAAGCUAUUUAGGUAGCGCCUCGUGAAUUCAUCUCCGGGGGUAGAGCACUGUUUCGGCUAGGGGGCCAUCCCGGCUUACCAACCCGAUGCAAACUGCGAAUACCGGAGAAUGUUAUCACGGGAGACACACGGCGGGUGCUAACGUCCGUCGUGAAGAGGGAAACAACCCAGACCGCCAGCUAAGGUCCCAAAGUCAUGGUUAAGUGGGAAACGAUGUGGGAAGGCCCAGACAGCCAGGAUGUUGGCUUAGAAGCAGCCAUCAUUUAAAGAAAGCGUAAUAGCUCACUGGUCGAGUCGGCCUGCGCGGAAGAUGUAACGGGGCUAAACCAU